CCUUGUUCUUAUCCGCGGAGUAUAUCAUUUUACCAUUUUUUGAGAUAAUGAUCUUGACAUCUUUGAAUGUAGCACCGUUAAUUUUUGUUCCAGCCUUAUUUACGGUUAGUUUCAUUUUGUCAAAGAUAAUGCUGGAAGAUGGACCGUCUCCCUUAUUGAUAUUUACUCCUAGUUCCCUUUUGAGGAAAUCCUUUUUAUCCAACGUAUAGGCCCGUUUCAUUACCCCAGCAUCCCGUCUGAUGUUUGGUGUGGAACCGCUGGGUCUUGAUCCGUCAACGUCCGGAUUGAAUCCGAUGGGAAUUAAUAUACUUUCAUCCCGUCUCCCAUCAUCAUUGUCAAUGAAACUUGUUUCUUCCUCCGCCGUUUCAACUUCUUCAGCUUCGCGAUCGUCCCCACGGUUUGUUUCUUCCAGUUCAAUGUUGGCCAUUUAUUUUAUAUCCUUAAUGUUUUCUUCGGGAAUCCAAGAAUUGUGUUUACUAUCGUAUCCUAACCACUUGACCAGCACCAUACCCUUUCUUUUUCUCAGAAUUUUCUCCACCCUAUACACAUCGUCCUUCUUGUCCACAGCAGACAGUUCCUCUUCGUAAAAC
rnacentral:lncRNA from 1 species